rnacentral:rRNA from 1 species
UACAGAGGUGGCAAGCGUUGUUCGGAAUUACUGGGCGUAAAGGGCGCGUAGGCGGCCAUCUAGGUCAGACGUGAAAUCCCCCGACUUAACCUCGGGCCUGCAGUCGAUACGGGCAGACUAGAGUUCGGUAGGGGAGACUGGAAUUCCUGGUGUAGCGGUGAAAUGCGCAGAUAUCAGGAGGAACACCGGUGGCGAAGGCGGGUCUCUGGGCCGAUACUGACGCUGAGGAGCGAAAGCGUGGGGAGCGAACAGG